UACGGAGGGUGCAAGCGUUAUCCGGAUUCACUGGGUUUAAAGGGUGCGUAGGUGGAGUGGUAAGUCAGUGGUGAAAUCUCCAAGCUUAACUUGGAAACUGCCGUUGAUACUAUCAUUCUUGAAUAUCGUGGAGGUAAGCGGAAUAUGUCAUGUAGCGGUGAAAUGCUUAGAUAUGACAUAGAACACCGAUUGCGAAGGCAGCUUGCUACACGAUCAUUGACACUGAGGCACGAAAGCGUGGGGAUCAAACAGGAUUAGAUACCCUGGUAGUCCACGCCCUAAACGAUGAUUACUCGACAUCAGCGAUACACUGUUGGUGUCUGAGCGAAAGCAUUAAGUAAUCCACCUGGGAAGUACGAUCGCAAGAUUGAA
rnacentral:rRNA from 1 species